GGGGCUGUAGCUCAGUAGUAGAGCGCUUGCAUAGCGCAUGUAAGGCACAGGGUUCAAUCCUCAGCAGCCCCA
rnacentral:tRNA from 1 species